AGUAGUUUGAUCAGUGGCUCGAGGACGACGCUGGCGGCGUGCUUAACACAUGCAAGUCGAACGAGACGGAUUGAAAGCUUGCUUUUGAAAAGUCGAGUGGCAAACGGGUGAGUAACGCGUAGGCAACCUGCCGCAAAGAUGGGGACAACAGUCCGAAAGGACUGCUAAUACCGAAUGUUGUGCGACCUCCGCAUGGAGGAUGCAUUAAAGAUGGCCUCUACUUGUAAGCUAUCGCUUUGCGAUGGGUCUGCGUCUGAUUAGCUAGUUGGUGGGGUAACGGCCUACCAAGGCGACGAUCAGUAGCCGGUCUGAGAGGAUGAACGGCCACAUUGGAACUGAGACACGGUCCAGACUCC
rnacentral:rRNA from 1 species